rnacentral:rRNA from 1 species
GAUGAACGCUGGCGGCGUGCCUAAUACAUGCAAGUCGAGCGAACAGACGAGGAGCUUGCUCCUCUGACGUUAGCGGCGGACGGGUGAGUAACACGUGGAUAACCUACCUAUAAGACUGGGAUAACUUCGGGAAACCGGAGCUAAUACCGGAUAAUAUAUUGAACCGUAUGGUUCAAUAGUGAAAGACGGUUUUGCUGUCACUUAUAGAUGGAUCCGCGCCGCAUUAGCUAGUUGGUAAGGUAACGGCUUACCAAGGCAACGAUGCGUAGCCGACCUGAGAGGGUGGUCGGCCACACUGGAACUGAGACACGGUCCAGACUCCUACGGGAGGCAGCAGUAGGGAAUCUUCCGCAAUGGGCGAAAGCCUGACGGAGCAACGCCGCGUGAGUGAUGAAGGUCUUCGGAUCGUAAAACUCUGUUAUUAGGGAAGAACAAAUGUGUAAGUAACUAUGCACGUCUUGACGGUACCUAAUCAGAAAGCCACGGCUAACUACGUG